rnacentral:rRNA from 1 species
UGAAGUUUUCUUUUAGAGAUUUAAAAUUUGAUCAUGGUUUAAAAUGAUUUUAAAUGGUAUUAUCUAAAUUUGAUUUACGGAGUGGGCAAUAAAUAUUUACCCCGGCAAAUUAUCGCUUGUAAAAUACUUGUUCCAGAAUAAUCGGCUAGACUUGUUAAAGCUUGUACUUUAAUUGUUGUUAAUUAUAAAUUAAUAUUAUUAUUACUUUAAAAGUUUAAGGUAGAAUUAGAACUUUUUAGAGAUUAUAUUUAUAAUUUUAAAUUUUGUUGAACGAAUUAGAUUAGUACCUAAUUAGACAAAAAUUAAAAGAGCAGGAGUAAAGUUGUAUUUAAACUGAAAAGAUAUUGGCAGACAUUCUAAAUUAUCUUUGGAGGCUGAGUAAUAAUUGAGAACCCCCAUUAACUACUUAAUUUUUUGACUCAUGUAUGAUCGUUUAUUUUAUUCUUAAGUUCAAUAA